UACGUAGGGUGCAAGCGUUGUCCGGAAUCAUUGGGCGUAAAGAGCGUGUAGGCGGCUCGAUCAGUCCGCUGUAAAAGUCCAGGGCUCAACCCUGGGAUGCCGGUGGAUACUGUCGAGCUAGAGUCCGGAAGAGGCGAGUGGAAUUCCUGGUGUAGCGGUGAAAUGCGCAGAUAUCAGGAGGAACACCAAUGGCGAAGGCAGCUCGCUGGGACGGUACUGACGCUGAGACGCGAAAGCGUGGGGAGCAAACAGG
rnacentral:rRNA from 1 species